AUAUGGUCAAGUGAAGAAGCGCAUACGGUGGAUGCCUUGGCAGUCAGAGGCGAUGAAAGACGUGGUAGCCUGCGAUAAGCUUCGGGGAGUCGGCAAACAGACUUUGAUCCGGAGAUCUCUGAAUGGGGGAACCCACCUGGCAUAAGUCAGGUAUCUUGUACUGAAUACAUAGGUGCAAGAGGCGAACCAGGGGAACUGAAACAUCUAAGUACCCUGAGGAAAAGAAAUCAACCGAGAUUCCCUUAGUAGUGGCGAGCGAACGGGGACUAGCCCUUAAGUGGCUUUGAGAUUAGCGGAACGCUCUGGAAAGUGCGGCCAUAGUGGGUGAUAGCCCUGUACGCGAAAAUCUCUUAGUCAUGAAAUCGAGUAGGACGGAGCACGAGAAACUUUGUCUGAAUAUGGGGGGACCAUCCUCCAAGGCUAAAUACUACUGACUGACCGAUAGUGAACCAGUACCGUGAGGGAAAGGCGAAAAGAACCCCGGAGAGGGGAGUGAAAUAGAUCCUGAAACCGUAUGCGUACAAGCAGUGGGAGCCUACUUUGUUAGGUGACUGCGUACCUUUUGUAUAAUGGGUCAGCGACUUAUAUUCAGUGGCGAGCUUAACCGAAUAGGGGAGGCGUAGCGAAAGCGAGUCUUAAUAGGGCGUUUAGUCGCUGGGUAUAGACCCGAAACCGGGCGAUCUAUCCAUGGGCAGGUUGAAGGUUAGGUAACACUGACUGGAGGACCGAACCGACUACCGUUGAAAAGUUAGCGGAUGACCUGUGGAUCGGAGUGAAAGGCUAAUCAAGCUCGGAGAUAGCUGGUUCUCCUCGAAAGCUAUUUAGGUAGCGCCUCAUGUAUCACUGUAGGGGGUAGAGCACUGUUUCGGCUAGGGGGUCAUCCCGACUUACCAAACCGAUGCAAACUCCGAAUACCUACAAGUGCCGAGCAUGGGAGACACACGGCGGGUGCUAACGUCCGUCGUGAAAAGGGAAACAACCCAGACCGUCAGCUAAGGUCCCAAAGUUAUGGUUAAGUGGGAAACGAUGUGGGAAGGCUUAGACAGCUAGGAGGUUGGCUUAGAAGCAGCCACCCUUUAAAGAAAGCGUAAUAGCUCACUAGUCGAGUCGGCCUGCGCGGAAGAUGUAACGGGGCUCAAACCAUACACCGAAGCUACGGGUAUCACUUAGGUGAUGCGGUAGAGGAGCGUUCUGUAAGCCUGUGAAGGUGAGUUGAGAAGCUUGCUGGAGGUAUCAGAAGUGCGAAUGCUGACAUGAGUAACGACAAUGGGAGUGAAAAACUCCCACGCCGAAAGACCAAGGUUUCCUGCGCAACGUUAAUCGACGCAGGGUUAGUCGGUCCCUAAGGCGAGGCUGAAAAGCGUAGUCGAUGGAAAACAGGUUAAUAUUCCUGUACUUCUGGUUAUUGCGAUGGAGGGACGGAGAAGGCUAGGCCAGCUUGGCGUUGGUUGUCCAAGUUUAAGGUGGUAGGCUGAGAUCUUAGGUAAAUCCGGGAUCUUAAGGCCGAGAGCUGAUGACGAGUUGCCAUUAGGCGACGAAGUGGUUGAUGCCAUGCUUCCAAGAAAAGCUUCUAAGCUUCAGGUAACCAGGAACCGUACCCCAAACCGACACAGGUGGUUGGGUAGAGAAUACCAAGGCGCUUGAGAGAACUCGGGUGAAGGAACUAGGCAAAAUGGCACCGUAACUUCGGGAGAAGGUGCGCCGGUGAGGGUGAAGGACUUGCUCCGUAAGCUCAUGCCGGUCGAAGAUACCAGGCCGCUGCGACUGUUUAUUAAAAACACAGCACUCUGCAAACACGAAAGUGGACGUAUAGGGUGUGACGCCUGCCCGGUGCCGGAAGGUUAAUUGAUGGGGUUAGCUAACGCGAAGCUCUUGAUCGAAGCCCCGGUAAACGGCGGCCGUAACUAUAACGGUCCUAAGGUAGCGAAAUUCCUUGUCGGGUAAGUUCCGACCUGCACGAAUGGCGUAACGAUGGCGGCGCUGUCUCCACCCGAGACUCAGUGAAAUUGAAAUCGCUGUGAAGAUGCAGUGUAUCCGCGGCUAGACGGAAAGACCCCGUGAACCUUUACUAUAGCUUUGCACUGGACUUUGAAUUUGCUUGUGUAGGAUAGGUGGGAGGCUUUGAAGCGUGGACGCCAGUCUGCGUGGAGCCAUCCUUGAAAUACCACCCUGGCAACUUUGAGGUUCUAACUCAGGUCCGUUAUCCGGAUCGAGGACAGUGUAUGGUGGGUAGUUUGACUGGGGCGGUCUCCUCCUAAAGAGUAACGGAGGAGUACGAAGGUGCGCUCAGACCGGUCGGAAAUCGGUCGUAGAGUAUAAAGGCAAAAGCGCGCUUGACUGCGAGACAGACACGUCGAGCAGGUACGAAAGUAGGUCUUAGUGAUCCGGUGGUUCUGUAUGGAAGGGCCAUCGCUCAACGGAUAAAAGGUACUCCGGGGAUAACAGGCUGAUACCGCCCAAGAGUUCAUAUCGACGGCGGUGUUUGGCACCUCGAUGUCGGCUCAUCACAUCCUGGGGCUGAAGCCGGUCCCAAGGGUAUGGCUGUUCGCCAUUUAAAGUGGUACGCGAGCUGGGUUUAGAACGUCGUGAGACAGUUCGGUCCCUAUCUGCCGUGGACGUUUGAGAUUUGAGAGGGGCUGCUCCUAGUACGAGAGGACCGGAGUGGACGAACCUCUGGUGUUCCGGUUGUCACGCCAGUGGCAUUGCCGGGUAGCUAUGUUCGGAAGAGAUAACCGCUGAAAGCAUCUAAGCGGGAAACUUGCCUCAAGAUGAGAUCUCACUGGAGCCUUGAGCUCCCUGAAGGGCCGUCGAAGACUACGACGUUGAUAGGUUGGGUGUGUAAGCGCUGUGAGGCGUUGAGCUAACCAAUACUAAUUGCCCGUGAGGCUUGACCAU
rnacentral:rRNA from 1 species